rnacentral:rRNA from 1 species
GACAGAGGGUGCAAACGUUGUUCGGAAUUACUGGGCAUAAAGCGCACGUAGGUGGUCCGCUAAGUCGCGUGUGAAAUCCCCCGGCUCAACCGGGGAAAUGCGCGUGAUACUGGCGGGCUUGAGAUCGGGAGGGGUGAAUGGAACUCCAGGUGGAGCGGUGAAAUGCGUAGAUAUCUGGAGGAACACCGGUGGCGAAGGCGGCAUCCUGGACCAAUAUUGACGCUGAGGAGCGAAAGCCAGGGGAGCAAACGGG